rnacentral:rRNA from 1 species
UACGUAGGUGGCAAGCGUUGUCCGGAUUUACUGGGCGUAAAGAGCGCGCAGGCGGUCGUUCAAGUCGCGUGUGAAAGCCCCCGGCUCAACUGGGGAGGGUCACGCGAUACUGAUCGACUCGAAGGCAGGAGAGGGAAGUGGAAUUCCCGGUGUAGUGGUGAAAUGCGUAGAUAUCGGGAGGAACACCAGUGGCGAAGGCGGGUCACUGGACCGGUACUGACGCUGAUGCGCGAAAGCGUGGGGAGCAAACAGG